CAUUAAUAUCCCGCUCUAGAAAUUCUUCUCUUUCUCUCUCUCCUCUAAAACAGAAGAACUUUCCUACCUCUCUCUCCUCUCUGUUUUCUUUGUUGGUUCAGUGCAGGGAAAAUGCAAGAACAGGCAACCAGCUCCAUGGCAGCUAGCUCCAUACCUUCUAGCAGUGAAAGAUCUUCUAGCUCUGCCCUUCAGCUUGAAGCCAAAGAAGGCAUGGAGAGCGACGAUGAGAUCAGGAGAGUACCCGAGAUCGGCGGGGAAGCCGCCGGCACGGCAUCCGGGCGGGAAGCCAGUUCGGCAGCCGGUCCGAACCGGGUUCAGGGCUCUUCAGAGGGUUUGAGGAAGAGGGGUAGAAGCCCGGCCGAUAAAGAGCACAAGCGCCUGAAGAGAUUGCUGAGGAAUAGAGUUUCAGCACAACAAGCAAGGGAAAGGAAGAAGGCAUACCUAACAGAGUUGGAGGCAAGAGUGAAAGACUUGGAAAAGAAGAACUGUGAGAUGGAGGAGAGGCUGUCCACAUUGCAGAAUGAAAACCAGAUGCUAAGACAAAUAGGCAUUCCUAACAAUAUGAUCAUCAUGGCAUGCCGUUAUCGACCCGCAAUCAUUGGGAGCAGCCUUCUCGAAAUGUAAUUUGGGCAUUUAAAUGUGUACACCAUUAAGAAUGGAACAUGUGUGACCAUUGGAAGCUUUUGUAGAUAGUCAUCCUCCACGCAACAGAUUAUAUACUGAAGAACACAACAGCGGGCAUGCAAGAAGGCAGGAAGUAGGGUCCAAAUGUAGAUUACCAUGUAAUAAUGCAAUGAAGGAAAUGAUUAUAGAGUGCAGAAUCUGGUAUUUUGUUUACCAAAUUACUUCCUGUCGAAUGGCGUCGUCUGAAGAUUAUGGUCUGGUUAUUAGACUUGCAAUCUAGAAGCAAUGGCAUCCUUCUUGCUGAAGGAUUCAAAUUGGAUAUUUCGCGUUUUUUUCUUGGAAAAUGCUGGCUAGAGCACCUCUAGCCGUUACUCUCUUCCAAAUUCAUCGCGUGAAAUCAAAAUUUGAGUGAAUCGCUCAAUUCUUUUCGGGGGAAUGGGCGAUCCUUUGGAGGUUUAAGCAAAUAGUAUAUCAAUUUGAAGUCUUUGCUAUUUGAA